rnacentral:lncRNA from 1 species
CAAAAUCUCUUCCAUUUCUAGUUAGCCUUGCAUAGAUUCCUAUAAUAUCCAAAUGAAGUAAUAUCCUUCAAAGACCCAAAUACUUCUUUCUCAAAUACCAAAGACAGCUAAUUUCUGGUUCCCAGUCUGAUAGAUUGUGAUCAAAAGGAGAUAUUAAAGGCCAUCUAACUCAAUUCCUUCAUUUUACAGAUGAGAAAACAGAUUCAGAGAAGUUCAGUGGGGUACAAGUCUUUUCAAUGUCAAAGAAAACAUUGCUCUCUCUCAGAAAGCAGGAGAAACGCUCUGAAGAGGAUAAAAUGGAAGGUGUUCCGCUAUUUACACAGGGUCUUAUUGCUAAGGAACGACCAGGACGGAAAGAAGAGGAAGAUUGAAUAACGGAGCCUCAUCACUGGUGACCUAGCUUCAGUCGCAGAGUUGCUCAAAGCCUCAGUUCAAGCAGGGUGAACUCAUUACAAGUACCCAGAGAUUCUUCCCCAAAAUCUUCAGCGUGAACCGGGCAUCUGAGGAAAUUUGCAUGGAAGGUUCCCAGUCUAAGUUACUCCACUUAAGGGCAGAAGUGACAUUUCUGGGAAGAGGCUCUCAGUCGAGGGCCUGUAGAGAGACACAUUGUCUGACAUCUCUAGGAGCAGAGAUAGAAGAUGAAGUACUCAGGUAGAUUGGCCUGGACAAGAUCAAGUUUUCACCUCUGAGUUUGCAUGUGCUUUGUUUUAAUAGAUAACAUUCUUUGUAGAAAGGGACUAGAAAAUCGGAAAAUAAGGAUAUGCCAUGUUUUUUGAUGUUUUGGAUCUUUUACAAAAUGUAUCUUAGAAAUAUUUAAUUGUUAUGAUCACAUUUUAAUUAAUGCUUAUUUGUAUGGGUAGUAUGAUUUAAUAAAAAGCGAUGUGGUGAAAUGAGUCA